GGAGGUACAUUUGUGACUAAAGGAAAACUCUCAAAUUAAAGAAAUUUGACAUGAUAUACUGAAACUUUCUUAUAAUCAAUUAAACGACUGCUUUUCUUAGAUAUGUGAUUUUUCAUGGUCAAACAUUUUCAUUGUUAAGGAGGCUCGAGGGUAUAAAAAUGUCAGAAAAAAAUUAAACAUUUGUUUUUCAUUACAAAUUUUAUCUAUUACCUUUUGUAGUUGUUACUUUAUCAUAUGGUACAAAAAACAUUCAAAACAAUUAAUUCGUGUUGGCCCCAGAUGACUUUUAAAAUGUAAACAUCAUUGAAAAAGUUCCAAAUUAUCUCCCUUUGGUGGAAAAAUUACAUUUUUUGGCUUUAAAAUUGAAAUAUCUCUUUUAACUCAUCGGUGACCUAUAUUUUUUAAUAUAAUUUCGAUAUAUGCUGUACUUAAACUAAAUUAUUGUAAAAUUUGAGCAAUUUCUGUAAUAAAUUUCUUUUUUUAUUUCGAUAUUACCUUUAUUUCUCCUAUUAGUUCAACAGAAAAAAAAAACACUUUUACAAAGAUGAAUGCUUCUUUCGAAGGCAGAUUGUGAGUGCAAAUGAACGGUGACCCCA
rnacentral:lncRNA from 1 species